AAUCCUCACUCUUGGCACACACAGAAGAGAGGUAAUUCGCCACAUGGGGCUCCCUCAAAGCAAGGUGACCAUUGUAAUCUUCCUUUCCAAAGACAGGACCAACCCUGUGCCGAACUGUGUAUCUUUGGGCAACGUGGGAGUUGGUUCUGAUUGAAGUGAAUUUAGUGUUUUUGUGAAAACUUGGGUUCCCCUGGGUUUGGUUGCUCUUGUGCAGGUUGGCAUGGAGGGGUUAGGCUAAGAGGCUGGGAGAGAGAGCAUCAUCACCCAGUCUUCACGUUGUCACCCACCACUGAGAGUUCUGGUCAAGGUCACUCAUCUUCUAUUUGCACAAAGUGGCGAUGCAAAUAGAUUGCUGCUGAAUCAGCUUCUCAGUGAAGCAACAUUUCUCCGAGGAAAACAGCUUCCUCUUUGUGGGCGAGGAACAUGUCAAAACCAUGUGCUUGGAGGCUCUUUUGCUUUUUCCUGGGACUAGCUCUGGAUCUCUGAGAGAAAAAUGGUUGCUAAGACCUACAGGGCUGUUGCAAUGAAAGUAUCCUAAAAAGUUUCACUAAACCACAGAGAUUAAUUCAGAAUGUUACAUCAUGUGAACUCUGAUUUAUAGCCAGUCUAUUUUUCAUUUAGGGAAAGUCUGUUUCCAAAUAUGAGUGAAAGGCUUUUAAAUGAGACCUUCUGAUUCCCAGAGAUACUUUCAAAUGCUUGGAUUUGCUGGGAGUGAGGCCAACACGAAGACUAACCAAAUAAACACACUGGGGUUCCUCUCAAGAUGUGCCGACGAGCUGCUCUCUCCACUGGAAGAGAAGGUCACGGACCAGGCUUGGGGCUCCAUCCCACACCCCGUAGGAAGUCUUGCACCCGUCCUAAAAUUCUGGAGAAUUCCGUAGGUGAUGCCUCUCCUCUCAGGUCUCUGCCUCUUCUUGCUCCCAACUCUAGCCCCAGCGCCAGGCCCUGUGAUCUUCCUUUAUCCUAGCCCCUCGCUGCCUCUGAGCCAACAUUCUAACGUGGGGACUAUGAGGGAAAGAAGGGGGAUGAUUUAAGUUGUUAUGACAGAGGCCAGCUUUUGUUUCACCCCCUCCAUGUCAGACCAAUUCCCCAGUGAAACAAGGAUCUGGCCAGUACCUUUAGCCUCAUCAAGUUCUCAGUCAAAAUUUUGAAAUGAUAGGUCUUCUUUAAAGGUUUUAUCUGUUUCCUGAUCCUGAUGACAUCCUUAGAGAAAGGAAAAGGCCCCUCAAAGUGUCUUCCUACCUUCUUUCAGAUGAACCCCCAGGGAUCCGAACUCGUCACUUCAGCAAGGAAAUUAAACCUUUGUGCAAUAAUGGGUCUCACCCGAUAGGAUAUAAGUUUGCCAAAGAUUCAAUUUCAGUCUGUUUAGGUUUGUGUCCCCAGCACGUUAAACAUGACUGGCCUAGAGUGGUGCUCAAAAAAUACUGAGCGAGUGACUGACUAAAUGAAUGAAUAAGUGGCCAAUGAAUAGAUUUGAAAUUCAUUUGUUUGCUGUUAAUGAAUUAAGCUACUAGUGUAUGCCAGAAACCCUGACAGACAACGGACACUGCCAAAAUAUAACCGGCUUGACACUUGCCCCUGAUGAACUGUAACUGAAUAGGGAAGAUAAAACAAAUAGACAAUGGCUUCAGUCAAAGAGACACCUUGGAGGUUGCAGGACAGAAGGCUAGACAAGGACUAAUGCCAAAUCGAGGCCGAACAGGUGAGAAGGAUCUCCUAGGUCAGGUCAGAACUCUAUGGAGUAAACAAAGCCAUCCCACUAGACAGGUACUUCCUUUAGUUACAACAAAACACGAAGAAGCCCUUUAAAGCUAUAUCUUGCUACGCAUUAGCAUUUGUACAAAUGGCUCUAUCCUUUGACUGAUACUCAAUGGAUAUCAAUAUUUUAACUAUGGCUUUCCACAAUGAAGCUUCAAAAACAAGCUGCACUUCAGUCCACCAAAUACCUUCUCCCCAAGCAAAAGACAUAGAAACAAGUUCACAAGAAAGUGAUCAUGUCUGGAGCAAAGCUAAGCUUCCACCUGAAGAGAAAAAGUAGCUCAGAUAAAAUCAUAACCGCCUCUCUCUUCUCAAAGAAAGGAAAUCAUUGUGGUUCACCAGGUGAGAACGUGGAAGCUCCCCUUUUCGACAUAUUAAGCUAACCAACAAAGCACAAUCUUUUGCAAAAGACGGGUGAUUGACAAGUCCUGUGACUCGGUCUCCCUGAGAGGCCGCUGGGUUUCUCACACUCAGAUACCAUCUUGUAUGUUUGGCUGCAAACUGGUUGCAACUAGCCAGUGCCCCCCAUCACAUGGAUAGUUUUCGACAUAGAACUUAAUUCCUUUUUAUGUGAUCAGAGGAGAGGGUUUUAAAUAGACAUUUUAAGAAAACACAGAUGCGUGCAACAGCGAAAAUAAAAAUUGGUUGCAAAUGAAACCCCCAUCAUAACCUGUACCAACAUUUAGUGUCUUUUCCUCCGGUUUAUGCCUGAGUGUAUUUUUUUCCUUUUUCCACAAAUCAGACAAUUUUGCGGGUACUACUCCUCAUCCUUUGCUGCCCUCAUUUAGUCUUGUCCUAUUGCCAUUUGAGGAGUCUGAUAAUAUGUGAGGAAAGUAGAUGGUGAACCAGGGAGACCAGCUGGUGUUGGUGGAUGGAGUUCAGGAGUGACCAUUGUUGGCAUCUCAGAGUUCCCCCAAGAGAGCCCAACCACAAGGAGCACAAACCAAAAGAUUUGUGUCAGAGAAAUUUCAGCUACGAACACUCACCAAAGGGGUUCCAGGCUCUCCUCCACCAGCUUCCUGAUCCAGGUUGCUUUGGUAGAAGUCAGCUCACUGCCAGAUUGUUCUCCCCUGAAUAUCAAACAUAAUUCAGAGUUAGACCUUCCUAGCAUCAUAAGAGGCAUGCUCAGAAGAAUGGAUCAAGACGCACUUGGCGGAGUUCCCAUCGUGGCUCAGUGGUUAACAAAUCCGACUAGGAACCAUGAGGUUGCGGGUUCGGUCCCUGGCCUUGCUCAGUGGGCUAAGGAUCUGGCGUUGCUGUGAGCUGUGGUGUAGGUUGCUAUGGCUCUGGCGUGGGCUGGUGGCUACAGCUCUGAUUCAACCCCUAGCCUAGGAACCUCCAUAUGCC
rnacentral:lncRNA from 1 species